AAGGAAGGCCUAGGGGCAAUAAGCACUGCUAAUACUUACAUCCGCGGUUAAACUCCGCGGCUUCCUUA
rnacentral:tRNA from 1 species